UUGCUGUGAAGGAUCUUACAUGUACGAAAUCUACAUAUUUGGGUUCGACUUUGACGUCUCGAAAAAUGUGUCUAGGUUUUUUAGCCUAAAAUUGUUCAACUUUGAUGCAAAAUAUCUCGAAGACAAUGAACUUUGAAGUAAAUAUGGGAUA